rnacentral:rRNA from 1 species
UACGUAGGGGGCUAGCGUUGUCCGGAUUUAUUGGGCGUAAAGAGCGUGUAGGCGGCCAGGUAGGUCUGCUGUGAAAACUCGAGGCUCAACCUCGAGACGUCGGCGGAAACCAUCUGGCUAGAGUCCGGAAGAGGAGAGUGGAAUUCCUGGUGUAGCGGUGAAAUGCGCAGAUAUCAGGAAGAACACCCGUGGCGAAGGCGGCUCUCUGGGACGGUACUGACGCUGAGACGGCGAAAGCGUGGGGAGCGAACAGG